GAUGAAGAACGUAGCGAACGUGCGAAACGUAAUGUGAAUUGCAGAAUUCAGUGAAUCAUCGAAUCUUUGAACGCAUCUUGCGCUCCUUGGUAUUCCGAGGAGCAUGCCUGUUUGAGUGUCGUGAAUACUCUCAACUUCAACCCUUUUUUCGGAAAGGGAGGAAGGUUGGACUUGGGUGUUUGUUGAAGUGCGAGCUUCGACUCAUCCUAAAUGCAUUAGCGUUCUGCCUCGAUCACACACAAUGUGAUAAUUAAAACUAAAGCAUUGUUUAAUGAUCAAGUCGAGACUGCUUCUAACUGUCGCAAGACAAUAACGUGCAUACAUUUGUGCAUGUCAUUUGACCUCAAAUCAGGUAGGACUACCCGCUGAACUUAAGCAUAUCAAUAAGCGGAGGA
rnacentral:misc_RNA from 1 species